rnacentral:rRNA from 1 species
AUUGAACGCUAGCGGGAUGCUUUACACAUGCAAGUCGAACGGCAGCGCGGACUUCGGUCUGGCGGCGAGUGGCGAACGGGUGAGUAAUGUAUCGGAACGUGCCCAGUAGCGGGGGAUAACUACGCGAAAGCGUAGCUAAUACCGCAUACGCCCUCCGGGGGAAAGCAGGGGAUCGUAAGACCUUGCACUAUUGGAGCGGCCGAUAUCGGAUUAGCUAGUUGGUGAGGUAACGGCUCACCAAGGCGACGAUCCGUAGCUGGUUUGAGAGGACGACCAGCCACACUGGGACUGAGACACGGCCCAGACUCCUACGGGAGGCAGCAGUGGGGAAUUUUGGACAAUGGGGGCAACCCUGAUCCAGCCAUCCCGCGUGUGCGAUGAAGGCCUUCGGGUUGUAAAGCACUUUUGGCAGGAAAGAAACGUCGCGGGCUAAUACCCCGUGGAACUGACGGUACCUGCAGAAUAAGCACCGGCUAACUACGUG